AUUGAACGCUGGCGGCAUGCCUUACACAUGCAAGUCGAACGGCAGCAUAGGAGCUUGCUCCUGAUGGCGAGUGGCGAACGGGUGAGUAAUAUAUCGGAACGUGCCCUAGAGUGGGGGAUAACUAGUCGAAAGACUAGCUAAUACCGCAUACGAUCUACGGAUGAAAGUGGGGGAUCGCAAGACCUCAUGCUCCUGGAGCGGCCGAUAUCUGAUUAGCUAGUUGGUGGGGUAAAAGCCUACCAAGGCAACGAUCAGUAGCUGGUCUGAGAGGACGACCAGCCACACUGGGACGGAGACACGGCCCAGACUCCUACGGGAGGCAGCAGUGGGGAAUUUUGGACAAUGGGGGCAACCCUGAUCCAGCAAUGCCGCGUGAGUGAAGAAGGCCUUCGGGUUGUAAAGCUCUUUUGUCAGGGAAGAAACGGUAGUAGCGAAUAACUACUAUUAAUGACGGUACCUGAAGAAUAAGCACCGGCUAACUACGUGCCAGCAGCCGCCGUAAAAC
rnacentral:rRNA from 1 species